rnacentral:rRNA from 1 species
AGCGAACGCUGGCGGCAGGCCUAACACAUGCAAGUCGAACGAAGUCUUCGGACUUAGUGGCGGACGGGUGAGUAACACGUGGGAACGUACCUUUUGGUUCGGAACAACUCAGGGAAACUUGAGCUAAUACCGGAUGAGCCCUUAGGGGGAAAGAUUUAUCGCCGAAAGAGCGGCCCGCGUUAGAUUAGCUAGUUGGUGAGGUAAAGGCUCACCAAGGCUACGAUCUAUAGCCGGUCUGAGAGGAUGAUCAGCCACACUGGGACUGAGACACGGCCCAGACUCCUACGGGAGGCAGCAGUGGGGAAUCUUGCGCAAUGGGCGAAAGCCUGACGCAGCCAUGCCGCGUGAAUGAUGAAGGUCUUAGGAUUGUAAAAUUCUUUUACCAGGGACGAUAAUGACGGUACCUGGAGAAGAAGCCCCGGCUAACUUCGUGCCAGCCGCCGCCGUAAGAC